rnacentral:rRNA from 1 species
UAAUACGUAGGAGGCAAGCGUUAUCCGGAUUCACUGGGCGUAAAGCGCGUGUAGGCGGUUCGACAAGUUGGGCGUAAAAGCUCCCGGCUCAACUGGGAGAGGCCGUCCAAUACUGUCGGGCUAGAGGGAGGGAGAGGGGGGUGGAAUUCCCGGUGUAGCGGUGAAAUGCGUAGAGAUCGGGAGGAACACCGGUGGCGAAGGCGGCCCCCUGGUUUCAGACUGACGCUGAGGCGCGAAGGCGUGGGGAGCAAACAGGAUUAGAUACCCUGGUAGUCCACGCGGUAAACGAUGUCGACUAGCCGUGCCUUUCGGUUGUGAGGGGUGUGGUGCAGCUAACGCGGUAAGUCGACCGCCUGGGGAGUACGGCCGCAAGGUUG